rnacentral:tRNA from 1 species
GCCCCUGUGGCGUAGUGGUAACGCGCUCGCGUGCUGCCAUCCCGUGUUGUACUCGCUCUCUUGACCUAUUAACCACGCGCAAUAUUCCCCUAUCCCUCAAGAUCUGAACCUAGCAUGAGUACAUCACGAGAGCCACAAGAGAGACCUCGGUUCGAAUCCGAGCAGAAGCA